UACGUAGGGUGCGAGCGUUAAUCGGAAUUACUGGGCGUAAAGCGUGCGCAGGCGGUUUUGUAAGCCAGAUGUGAAAUCCCCGGGCUUAACCUGGGAAUGGCAUUUGGGACUGCAAGGCUGGAGUUUGGCAGAGGAGACUGGAAUUCCUGGUGUAGCAGUGAAAUGCGUAGAUAUCGAGAGGAACACCGGUGGCGAAGGCGGCCUUCUGGACAGUGACUGACGCUGAGACGCGAAAGCGUGGGGAGCAAACAGG
rnacentral:rRNA from 1 species